CCCACCUGGAAGCCCAUAAAGACGAUGGAUGGUUACUAGGAGAUUCUGGAUACCCAUGCAGACCGUGGCUGCUCACACCACUGGCCCAGCCUCAGACCCGUGCAGAGGAGAGAUACAACAGCAGUCACUGUCGAACCCGCAACACCAUCGAGAGAGCUUUUGGUCUCUUGAAGUCCAGAUUUAGGUGCAUCCACAAGUCUGCAGGCUGCUUGUGGUAUGGGGUGAAACAGUGCCACAAGAUUGUGUAUGCAGCUGCACAGCU